rnacentral:lncRNA from 1 species
CCCAGGGUCUGUGGCUGCCAUCCUAAUGCGAACCGAAAGGCAUGCCAAUUAAAGCCAGCUUGAAGGCAGCAAUCGUUGCAGUCCUUCAACUCCAACCUCAAACGUCAACCUCAGCACGAACCUCAGCUGCACCCAAAAAAAAAGAGAGAAUCUGUGACCAAUCCGCUUAUGACUGCAGGCUGAUGCCGAGUCGGAUCCGAUGCGAUUCCCGCCUGGCCCACACCUCA